rnacentral:tRNA from 1 species
UUCCCUGUGGCUCAGCUGGUCGAGCAUGGUGUUUGCAACGCCAGGGUUGUGGGUUCGAUUCCCACGGGGGACC